rnacentral:sRNA from 1 species
AUAGCACCCAUCAGGGGAAGGUAAGAACCUUCGACCAAGGUUCGCGCCGAGCGUAGCGAGACAACGACGCGCAGCGGCGGCCCGA